CCCCUGUCGGAUAGGAAAUCCCAAGUAAGGUACCUGCCAUCGGCAGAUUUGAGCUUUCUUCUUGGACACCUGAUACCCACAGUCCUCCAGGCUCCGGUAGAUUGCAAAUAACCUGCUUUCUUUCUGUUCCCGGGCUGCCUUCGGAACCCUGUGGGAGAGUAAAUCCCUAGUAAGGUACCUGCCGUUGACAGAUUUGAGCUUUCUUCUUGGACACCUAAUACCCACAGUCCUCCAGGUGUGAAAGAAAUACUCAAGUGACUGUGUUGCUGGUGGGAAAAAGCGUAUCAUUUCCUGGGGUCUUCAGGGUACAGUUGUGCUCAAAAUUAAACACUUCUAGGGAUUAUGCUGUGACCCUUUUAAUAUGUGCUUUUAAUUUUUUUCAUUUCUUAAUACUCUUUUUUCUAUACUCAAUGGUGCAAGCUUCUGGUUUUCUACUGGCUCCUUAUUUAAGAAUGUGAAAACAUCCAGAUAUUUGAGAGGGUAGAAGUGGAAAUUAGGAAUGCCUAAACAAACUCUAAAAGAAGAAUUUUAGCAGUAUUAAUUUAUUGGCUUUAUCAAUUAAUUGGUAUUAUGGCUACUAUCCUAACUACUUGAAUCCCUACUUGGUCAAUAACAAAUAUUAUGAAAAUAUCUAAGCUUUUCUUCUGGCCUAUAAAAUUUAAAAAAUUAGCAAAACAUAUCACGUUGAAGACAUUCAUUUUUCACAGAGAGCAGUGAAGGCAUUUCUCUAUUUCCUUUCCCCCAUCCUACCCUAGGAUUGCUCUGCAGUAUUCAUGUGUUAGUAUAGGUCAACAAAAAGCACUAUACUUGUGUUCACCUGUUUAAAAUGAUGUUAAUACACUUAAUGCUAUAAAAAAAAAAAACCAAAAAGGUUCGAUAGGUACAUUCACCCUCAUGAAGAAGUUGUUUAGGUGCAACACUGUAAACAAAAUCUAAAUAAAUGCAACAAUUUUCAUCUUAGCAGAUUGGUGAAAAAUGUUAUUCUUUUGAUUAUAGUUACUUUUGUCCCUGUGCCUUGAACACACUGAACAGCAUCUUACUCUAUAAACUGCUAGCCCUUAAUGUGGUGGUCUAAAUUUUAUUUUUUCUUUUUUAUUGCUAACUGAUUAUUACUAUCAUUGAGGAAAGUUAUUGGUUUCUACAUAUUUAUUAUGUAUUCUGCUAUGAUAUAUAAUGUCUUAUAAAUUUUAAAUAUGAGUAAUAGCUUUUCUUC
rnacentral:lncRNA from 1 species